ACUCAGCUGCAUUCUUUGGUGUAAACAUCUUGGCCUGAAUUGCCCAACAGAAGAUCCACAGGGCAUCCCAGCUCAUAGGGACAAAUGUCAUAAACAGUGCCCAGCGCCCUCCAACAGCUGUGAAUCCUCCACUAGCAUAGUCUGCAACAGGAAAUUAAGGGAGGGUUCAAGGCAAGAACUUUUCUGCACACUGGCACACGCCAACACAUGUGCUGUUAUUCAUGCCAACUACACACUCUAUGGUGGAGGUGCAGGCCUCUCCGAGACUCACUGGUGGUGUUGGUGGUGGUAGAAGGCUGAGACUGAAGGGCAAGCCCAGCCUCACAAUUAAGCCCAAUGGACUGCAUGUGCUGGACCACAAGAGCAGUUCUCACUCCCACCUGUCACAAGUCAAGAACGACUUCACACCAGCCUUGAAUCGCUAGAUAGAAGUGGACUUCAUGUCCAAGCUGAACAAGUUCAUGAAGGACCACAAUACACCCAUCACCAGGCUGCCACACAUCAGAUACAAGCAGCUUGGUUGCCGUGUCCCAGGAGAAGAACUCACCUCUUCGUCCCUCCUUUGACGUGGUCCUUAGAAAGGUGUUUGAGGGUGGCCUGAUGCGUUGUUGGUUCGUGGAGGCUUUGAGGCUGGCCAGGCGGGAUAAGGAAGGGGAGAACGGCGAAGAGGAAGAGAUGGGAGAGAAAGAGGAGGAGGAGGGUGGGGUACCUUUCAGUCUAAAUCACUUGCAAGGAGUGUUCCUCAUCCUGGCGCUGGUCUUGCUGGCGGCCUGUCUGGCCUUCCUGACAGAACUGUCGUGUGGCAAGAGGAACGGGAGGAAUUGGUAGUCAGUACUCAGUAGUCACCAAGUAUACAUCAACACAGCCACCAUUCUAAGGUCAUUUUUCCUUCGUACGCACAAUAAAAUCCCCGGAAGCUCAAAAGUAAGGUGUUUUGACUAUGUGUGGAAGAGUAGAAACGGUGAAAUAAAUAGUGAAGUAUAAUUUUGAAAAGUGGAGUAGCAAUAAAUUUUCAUUUAAU